AAUUGUGGAUUCCAAAGACAGGCAAAAUGAAGUAUUUAGGUCAUUCUGAAUUAAGGAGAGGGGUAGGAGUCUGAGAUUUCAGAGGAAAGGAGUGCAGGUCCCUGGACCAUAAGAAAAGCAGUAUUUGGUAAUUAGAUGCUUGUCCUUUCGUACAUGUAGGUCACCCAGAUAAAGUUUAUCUCUGCUAAUAACCCUUAUUCUACAAAACACCCCAAUUUAGAUUCCUGUGUGUGUGGGUAAGCGAGGGACAGAAGUUUGUCUUGAACCUUCAAGGUCUCAAGUGUCUUCAGGCCAAAAUAAUCCACAUGCCAAAGUGGCACAUUCUAGGGGAUCUGUCCUGAACCCCUUCAGAGUUGAUUAUUAGUUAUUUAUAAAAGUGUCUUUUCAUUCUUUUACAGGUAUCCCCAGUGUCCUCCAAAAAAAGUCAUCUUCUUGUUUCAUCUAUAAUAACAUCUCAAAAAAAAAAUUGACUAUUAAAGAGAAGUCCAGGAGAUGGCCACUGGAGUGAUGAAACCAGCGUCUUAUGGAAAGGUCUCGGCCAAAAACCUGGAAGGGUAGAGGAAAAAAUUGUUUUUCCUUCUUCCUAAUAUAUUUUUCAUUCAUCGCAUUGGAAAUUCAAAAGUCCACCAUCUCGCUCUCUCUUUUUGGUUUGCACCAGGUGUGUGUCACUUCACGUACAGCAUUUAUGACUCAGAAACAGCUCUAUUUCAAGUCCGUGUUUGAUAGCUUAUGUCAGAAAACUAUAUUGGGCAAACGUCAUGGUAAUGAAAAUCUCAGAGGAGAGGAGACUUUGGAGCAGGACAACUUGGCCUUGAAUCUUGGUUAUAAUACCAGCUAUUUGGCAUAAGUCCCUAGUUUCUACACGUGUAAAAUGUGAGUAAUGAUGAUAAUAGCACCUACCUCACAGGAUGUUUUUAAGAUUAAGUGAGAUAACAGAUGAAAAGCACCCAGCAUAUUACUUGAGCGAAACACACUAAAUCUUGAAGAGCCAGUAGAUAUUGCUGUGAUUCUUUCUAGAUCAGUAAACUUCAUGAAGGAGGUGGGGAUGGUGGUAGAGCAGCCAUCUAUUAUAUUUCCAACCCAACCAGCUGCCUCACCAUUAUGUGCUGUGGGCCAGAAGAGCAAAGAGAUUACAG
rnacentral:lncRNA from 1 species